UGAUGCCUGCCCAGUGACCCCCAAAGUUCAACGGCCGCGGUAUCCUAACCGUGCGAAGGUAGCGCAAUCAAUUGUCCCGUAAAUUGAGACUUGUAUGAAUGGCUAAACGAGGUCUUAACUGUCUCCUGUAGGUAAUCUAUGAAAUUAGUAUUCCCGUGCAAAAACGAGAAUGUGAACAUAAGACGAGAAGACCCUGUGGAACUUUAAAAUCACGACCACCUUACAACCUUACACAGCCCCACUGGGUCCACCCACACAUAAACCCCUGGUCGACAUUUUUCGGUUGGGGCGACCUUGGAGAAAAAAAAAUCCUCCAAACCCACAGACCACAACUCUUCACUAAGACCAACUCCUCAAAGUACCAACAGUAACCAGACCCAAUAUAAUUGAGCAAUGGACCAAGCUACCCCAGGGAUAACAGCGCAAUCUCCUCCAAGAGCCCAUAUCGGCAAGGAGGUUUACGACCUCGAUGUUGGAUCAGGACAACCUAAUGGUGCAACCGCUAUUAAGGGUUCGUUUGUUCA
rnacentral:rRNA from 1 species